AUGUGUAGGAUAGCUGGGAGACUAUGAAGCAUGCUCGCUAGGGUGUGUGGAGUCACCGUUGAAAUACCAGCCUUUAGUUACUUGAUGUCUAACUCGCAAGAGGACAGUGUGUGGUGGGUAGUUUGACUGGGGUGGUCGCCUCCAAAAGAGUAACGGAGGCUUUCAAAGGUACCCUCAGCACGCUUGGUAACCGUGCGUAGAGUGCAAUGGCAUAAGGGAGCUUGACUGUGAGACCGACAAGUCGAUCAGGUAGGAAACUAGGACAUAGUGAUCCGGUGGUUCCGUAUGGAAGGGCCAUCGCUCAAAGGAUAAAAGGUACUCCGGGGAUAACAGGCUGAUC
rnacentral:rRNA from 1 species